rnacentral:lncRNA from 1 species
GUUGCUCCUGCUCUUGCCCUGUGAUAAGCCGGCUCCCUCUUCAUCUUCUUUCAUGAGGCCUCAUCAGAAGUGGAGCAGAUGCUGGUGUCAUGCUUGCACAGCCUGCAGAAUGUCCCACCAGACAUUUUAAUCUAAUAUGGAGCAUCUUCAGACCAUCAGGAAUGCCCCUUAUCUGGCUUUCCCCUAAAAAUACCUGGAGCGUGUUUUCAGUCGUCUGGCCCUUGACCUUCGCUUUUGGGAUAAGG